CUGGGAAUCUCCUGAUGAUAUUCUGGGCAUUGGUGGCUUCUAGUUGGUUGAAUUCAUCAACAAGAACUGAGGCACCAUGGGGAUGGGGAUGGGGACGUGGGCCUCAGGCAGCAUCUGAAGGGCACCCUGAGGGUUCUGGUUGCCAGGGAAACCCCAGCAGCUGGAGCUGUGAGCUCACAGGCCGCCAGGCACUUCACUAGGGCUCACGCUCCAGGGCAGAAGGUCUCAAAUAAGAAAUAGGAGGUCAACAUGUGAUUAUAAAAUAGAAGGUGUUUUGAGUCUUCUUCAAAGCACCAUCCUGAAAUCUGAAGUCAUGACCUUCCUAUUACUUUUUGCAUUAACAUUACCUUGCUUUUAUGAAAUACUGAUGAUGGUAAAGGAGCUGGGGCAUUUUCAUAAACACCCUUUUACAAGGUCAAAGACUUAGUGCCCCUGUGAUGGCCCCUCCACUUAUUUUCUCUCUUACCCCCUUCUGUUCUCUUUCUCCCUCUUUCUCUCUCCUUUUUCUCACUCCCCUUCCCUCUCUCUCCUCUCUGCUCUCUCUCCUAAAACCUGAAAGUCUUGGGAUGGAAGGAAACAUUGUGAAAACCAAGUUCACUGACCUGGUGUGAGAGUUAGGGCUGGUGACCCCCUGUACCUGGCACAGUGAGGUCACACAGAAGGACGUGGUUACCUUUACCUGGGGACACUUCACAAAGGAGAUGAUGUCUGAGCUGAGUCUUGAAAACUCAGGGGCUGAUGGCCAGGGCCAGAUGGUUGGUGGGGUAGGGGAUGAGGGAUGGGAGCAGAGACAUGACAGGAGGACAUACCGGAGAGCACCUGUUGGAGAUGUCGCUAUCAGAGUGUCUUAUCCAAGAGGGGCUGUGACAGGCCAUGAAACGAGCCAUCGCUGGAAACCAUGUAAUAGCAGACCUUGAGGGGCAAGCUAAGACCCAUGGAUUCCAGUCUCUGAAAUGAUGUCUUCAGCAUCAAACGUUAACUGCCUAGGAUUUGAGAUUCCAAAGAGAACAGAGGCAGGAGGGCGAGGUGGGGGGCCACCUGCCAGUGGGGCAGACACCAUUCCAGAGGAACAAGGAAUCUCCCUUCAGAAGCUCCUUGUGCAGGAUGGAAGCAGGCCUUCUCCAGACCACAGAGGGGUUGGAUUCCCCAAAGUGACAAGAGACCUGUUGUCAUGCACAGGCUUCUGGAACUCCACAGCCGGGAAGAGAUUAUUUAUUCCUCCAGCUCUUCCUUACUUCCUCUCCCUGCGGCAUCCAGCAAGCCUGGGCUUCACUGCCUGAAAAGGACAACAGCAGCCGCGGGUGGGUCUGGAUUCUUCUCUGGUGAGGCCCUGGAAUCCUCGUUGGAUUGUUCUCUGCCAGAUAUUUGCUUCUUCAUUUGGUGUCCUCCCUAAUUAUUAAAACACAACAAAACAGAGAAGCCAACCAAAACUUCUCCGGCUCUGCGGCGGUCCCUGCCCAGCACAGUCUCUGGCAGGUUAUCUGUGAGGUCUCUGCAGGAGGCCUUGGGGCCUCCAAGCUGCUCUGCUAUGGCCAUGGGUCACGGGCAACGGAUCGCGGACGACAGACCAUGGGUGUGGGCACGGCCAACCUGCUGGGGCAACCGGGAAACAGGACACUUGCGGGUCCCUCACUCACCCCUCUGGCUCGCUCAGACAGGGCCCAGAGAUGUUGUUUUCUUGGCCACGAUCUGGUCUCUGUGCCUGGGAUAAUAGAUUACAAAUGGGAAAAGGCUGUUUCACUCGUAGCUAUUUACUAAAAAUGAAGUGAUGUUUCAGGUCCAUUUUUCAC
ensembl:lincRNA